AUACGUAGGGGGCGAGCGUUGUCCGGAAUGAUUGGGCGUAAAGGGCGCGUAGGCGGCUUUGCAAGUCAGUAGUGGAAGUCCAUUUUUCAAGGAUGGAAGUGCUACAGAAACUGCGGAGCUUGAGUGCAGGAGAGGUUAUCGGAAUUCCCGGUGUAGCGGUGAAAUGCGUAGAGAUCGGGAGGAACACCAGUGGCGAAGGCGGGUAACUGGACCGCAACUGACGCUGAGGCGCGAAAGUGUGGGGAGCAAACAGGAUUAGAUACCCUGGUAGUCCACACUGUAAACGAUGAAUGCUAGGUGUAGGAGGUAUCGACCCCUUCUGUGCCGGAGUUAACACAAUAAGCAUUCCGCCUGGGGAGUACGGCCGCAAGGUUGAAACUCAAAUGAAUUGACGGGG
rnacentral:rRNA from 1 species